CCUACGGGUGGCAGCAGUGGGGAAUAUUGGUCAAUGGCCGUAAGGCUGAACCAGCCACGUCGCGUGAGGGAAGAAGGAUCUAGGGUUUUUAAGCUUCUUUUAUAGGGGAGUAAAGGUAUCCACGUGUGGAUAUUUGCAUGUACCCUAAGAUUAAGCAUCGGCUGGCUCCGUGCCAGCAGCCGCGGUAAUCCGGAGGAUGCGAGCGUUAUCCGGAUUUAUUGGGUUGAACGGGUGCGUAGGUGGUUGUGCAAGUCAGAGGUGAAAGUUUGUGGCUCAACCAUAAAAUUGCCGUUGAAACUGGAAGACUGGAGUGUGUUUGAGGUAGGCGGAAUGCGUGGUGUAGCGGUGAAAUGCAUAGAUAUCACGCAGAACUCCGAUUGCGAAGGCAGCUUACUAAGCCAUAACUGACACUGAAGCACGAAAGCGUGGGGAUCAAACAGGAUUAGAUACCCCAGUAGUC
rnacentral:rRNA from 1 species